AUAUCAUCUAUCAUCUAUCGAAUCUCUAUGUCUUUUUAUUAGUUUUCCCGUCACAUUAUAGUCAAUUUCUGGAAAACCAUUUCUUACAUUCAUAACUUAUACUCAAGAAGUAUUUAUGUUAAUUUAUCUUAACCACUUAGGAUAUAAAUCAAGCUUUAAGAUCGACCAAAGCAAAAUUAACAAUGUUAAAAUAAGUAAGAUACAAAGCCUAGCAUAGUACAUGUGUUUCUGCUUAUGCGUUCCUAAUUUGUGCUGGUUUCCAUCCAUUUUGAGCCCAUGCUUGGCCUGCCUACCAUGCUGUAUUAAAGACAUGAAAUACUGCCAAUGCUUCGUCGUUCAUCUCGACGAGAACAACCCUGACUUUACUGUUAGCUCCCGAAGCCGACCUGCCUACGUCACUAAGACCACUGUCACAGAAAUAUCUACACAUUCAGUAGACACUAAUGUAACCAACUCCACAAGAAGAUCCUCAAUAACUAAUUCCACAAGAAGAUCCUCAAAUUCAAGACAGAUAACAUCAAACAUGAAUGGUGAACCUAGCGUGUCUACAGUGUCUGCUAUACCAAGACCACCAUCAUAGAAAUAUCCAGCACUAUACAGUCAGUGGAUACUAAUAUUAUCAAUUCUAGAAGAUCGUCCAAUUCAAGACCGAUAUGAUCAAACAAUGAUCGCGAAAUCGGCCUGCUUACAGUGCUUAUUACAGCAAGACCACCUUAAGAGCUCUUUCCCACUGACCUCCAGUUUUUUGAGGGUACGUUACUAAGGGAACGUUACUAUAUUAGCACGUAUACUACUCAAACGGGAUCCUGCAGAAAACUGUACUCGCAAAAACUGAACAUCAGUGGAAAAGAGCUCUAACUCUAACAGAGAUCUCCAAAAGACACUAAUAUUGUAUUACCAACUCUGGUUAGUCAUAUUCUAUGAUCGAUAAAUAUUGAACGAUUUAAUUAAUAAUUACGGUUUCACUGUACAGUUUCUGUAAUGUUGGCUAUGCAGGUAUCGCUUCUUUGAUAAGCUUAUUAAAAUGAUUAUGAAAUUAA